AUGUACAUGCUUACGACAUAGCGUUAAUGCAUCAGAUCCCAUAAGAACUCCGCAAUUAAGCACGCUUGGGAUAGAGUAGUAUUGAGAUGGGUGACUGCCCAAGAAGUUAUAUUGUUUUACAUA
rfam:Picea glauca, whole genome shotgun sequence.